ACAGCAGCAGCCGCGGGAACACCGAGGGUGCAAGCGUUAAUCGGAAUUACUGGGCGUAAAGCGCGCGUAGGUGGUUUGUUAAGUUGGAUGUGAAAGCCCCGGGCUCAACCUGGGAACUGCAUCCAAAACUGGCAAGCUAGAGUACGGUAGAGGGUGGUGGAAUUUCCUGUGUAGCGGUGAAAUGCGUAGAUAUAGGAAGGAACAUCAGUGGCGAAGGCGACCACCUGGACUGAUACUGACACUGAGGUGCGAAAGCGUGGGGAGCAAACAGGAUUAGAUACCCCGGUAGUCCCUGUCUCUUAUAC
rnacentral:rRNA from 1 species